AUUGAACGCUGGCGGCAGGCCUAACACAUGCAAGUCGAGCGAGUGGCGGACGGGUGAGUAAUGUAUGGGGAACUGCCCGAUAGAGGGGGAUAACUACUGGAAACGGUGGCUAAUACCGCAUACCAUCGGAUGUGCCCAGAUGGGAUUAGCUGGUUGGUGGGGUAAAGGCUCACCAAGGCGACGAUCCCUAGCUGGUCUGAGAGGAUGACCAGCCACACUGGGACUGAGACACGGCCCAGACUCCUACGGGAGGCAGCAGUGGGGAAUAUUGCACAAUGGGCGCAAGCCUGAUGCAGCCAUGCCGCGUGUAUGAAGAAGGCCUUCGGGUUGUAAAGUACUUUCAGCGGGGAGGCGUUACCCGCAGAAGAAGCACCGGCUAACUCCGUGCCAGCAGCCGCGGUAAUAC
rnacentral:rRNA from 1 species